CCCUUAGAUGUCCUGGGCCGCACGCGCGUUACACUGAUGCAUUCAACGAGCUUAUAACCUUGGCCGAGAGGCCUGGGCAAUCUUGUUAACGUGCAUCGUGAUAGGGAUAGAUUAUUGAAAUUAUUAAUCUUGAACGAGGAAUUACUAGUAAACGCAGAUCAUCAAUCUGCAUUGAUUACGUCCCUGCCCUUUGUACACACCGCCCGUCGCACCUACCGAUUGGAUGGUCCGGUGAAGCCUCGGGAUUGUGGUUCUUGCCGCUUUAUUGUGGCGUGACCGCGAGAACUUGUCUAAACCUUAUCAUCUAGAGGAAGGUGAAGUCGUAACA
rnacentral:rRNA from 1 species